rnacentral:rRNA from 1 species
UACGUAGGGGGCGAGCGUUGUCCGGAGUUACUGGGCGUAAAGCGCACGCAGGCGGUCUGCUAAGUUUGGAGUGACAGUUGGUGGCUUAACUGCCAAAGUGCUUCGAAAACUGACAGACUUGAGGGCUUCAGAGGGACACGGAAUUCCGGGUGUAGCGGUGAAAUGCGCAGAAUAUCAGGAGGAACACCGAUGGCGAAGGCAGGUCUCUGGGCCACUACUGACGCUGAGAAGCGAAAGCAUGGGGAGCGAACAGG